rnacentral:rRNA from 1 species
UCAUAACUGAAUACAUAGGUUAUGUAGAGGCAUACCAGGGGAACUGAAACAUCUAAGUACCCUGAGGAAGAGAAAACAAUAGUGAUUCCGUCAGUAGCGGCGAGCGAACGCGGAGAAGCCCAAACCAAAGAGCUUGCUCUUUGGGGUUGUGGGACGUCUCACAUGGAGUUACAAAGGAGCCGGUUAAACGAAGAGGUCUGGAAAGGCCCGCCAAAGAAGGUAAAAGCCCUGUACUUGAAAGUCUGCUCUCUCCGAGAUGUAUCCCGAGUAGUGCGGGGCACGU